GGGGUUGUAGCUCAGUUGGUAGAGCAUUAGAAUCGCACUCUAAGGGUCGCCGGUUCGAAUCCGGUCAACUCCA
rnacentral:tRNA from 1 species